GAAUCUUGCGCAAUGGGCGAAAGCCUGACGCAGCGAUGCCGCGUGCGGGACGAAGGCCUUCGGGUUGUAAACCGCUUUCAGCAGGGACGAAAUUGACGGUACCUGCAGAAGAAGCCCCGGCCAACUACGUGCCAGCAGCCGCGGUAAUACGUAGGGGGCGAGCGUUGUCCGGAUUUAUUGGGCGUAAAGAGCUCGUAGGCGGUUCGGCAAGUCGGAUGUGAAAUCUCCACGCUCAACGUGGAGGGGCCAUUCGAUACUGCCGUGACUCGAGUCCGGUAGGGGAGUGUGGAAUUCCCGGUGUAGCGGUGAAAUGCGCAGAGAUCGGGAGGAACACCCGUAGCGAAGGCGGCACUCUGGGCCGGUACUGACGCUGAGGAGCGAAAGCGUGGGGAGCGAACAG
rnacentral:rRNA from 1 species